rnacentral:lncRNA from 1 species
AAAUAAUUGAGUAUCACCUUCAAAUAGAUGAAAAAUCUAGAGGAUUCCUGUUGGCAUCACCCCCUGAAAAUUUUAAAUGCCAGGAUGUCCGGAUCUGGACAACUCUCUUUCCAAAUAACAAUUUAUAAAAAUAAACCAUUAUUGGUCAAUGUACGGCCUUCAACACGAAACCUUGAUUCACACCGAACAACAAGUUAUCAAGGGCCC